GUGUGUAUGUCUGUGUGUGUGUGUAUGUCAGUGCGUCUGUGUGUGUAUGUCAGUAUAUCUGUCAUAGACACACACAGACAUACUGACAUACAUACACAAACAGACAU